ensembl:lncRNA
AUGCAUGCGUUUUCCAAAUGCUCGUCUGGGCUGCUCAGUCAGUCCUGCAUUUCUGUUGGAAUGCUCAUGUUCCCUCUCUUUCCAAAUCACCCUGUUUGGUCAUAUAUGAAGAUAAUUAAGUCUACAUUGCUGGAGGUGUCACCCCCUCUAGCAGUAUCUCUGAGAACUUCUUGGAAAUUUUUACAUGUUCCAGUUACCCAGACUGUGGCUACCUCCCGCUCUUUGGUUCACCCCCUGCAAUCUCACAGUCACUUUUCUGGGCUACUCAUCCUCUCCCCUUGCUGAUUUCUCUGAUCAUGAACACGUUCUUUUACUAUUCCCUAAGCAUGGGCCGUGAGGUGCAAAACAUUUAGCAAAGAUAUGCAGAUGGAAACAGAGAAUUGCAAAGCCAGAAUUAGAAAACUGGAUAUGGACAACAAGGAUUCCUGGAACCUACCUGCUACAUCACAUUAGAAGGAAAUACAGAUGUAGAGAAUUGACACCAAGGGGAAGAAGGGGGAGUGAGAUGAAUUGGGAAAUUGGGAUUGACAUAUAUACAAAAUACUAUUUACAAAACAGCCAACUAAUGAGAACCUACUAUAUAGCACAGAGAACUCUAUUCAAUGUUCUAUGGUGACCUAAAAGAGAAGGAAAUUUAAAAAAGAGGGGAAGUAUGUAUACGUAUGGCUGAUUCACUUUGCUUUACAGUAGAAACUAACACAACACUCUAAAGCAACUAUACUCCUUUUCUUUUUUUUUUUUAAGAGUGGGGCUAUGGCUCCUGUGUUUGUCCUCAGCUUCUGGAUGGCCUUCCACCACAUUGCAAGGGUCUCUACCAGAUCCGUUCCCUGAGUAUUAGUCCCCUGCCUCCAAUUCUGGUCCUUAGUCCUGCAAAGGGAAACCUAAAAUGAACCUUUAAUAAAGAAAGAGAAAACAAAUCUUCAAGAACUUCUCACUCUCCAUCCCCCAACUUCCAUGUUUCAUUAAGCAAAAUCUGCCAAGGCAGGGCUGAAGAAUUUGCAUGUGUGUCUCUUCACUAAAGACCAAAGAGUUGGUACUUAUGUGCGUAAUCAAAACUUUCCCAGAAGAGAUAAUAGUGUACCUCAAAGAAACACUCUUGCUUCUUCGCAGAAUAUCUGUUUUGCUCCAGUUUUCAUCAAUCAAAUAUUCAGGUGUCCAGCCCCAGAGCACUUUUCUCAAAACUUGGAAACUCUCUGACCAGGUUACAGCUAGUCAAUGGCAAAGAUUUGCAAAGUGUGUAUUAUUAACAAUAAUUAACAUUUAUUGAGUGGGUACUAUAUGCCAGGGACUGUGCUUAGCAGUUUACAUGAAUUUUUCUUAUUUAAUCCUCCCCAAAUCCUAUGAAAAAGGCACAAUGAUGUGUUCUGGGUGUGGUUUAGGGUGCGGCUGGUUUGGUGCCCAAAUCCAAAUGGUAAUUCAUCCCUCCUCUUCUCUAGAGUUCCCAGCCAAAGAGCAUAUUCAUCAAAGAAUUAGCAGCCAAGUAGGAAAGAAACUGCUGAUAUUAAAAAUGUCUGGGAAAGUCCACAAAGGAAAGCUCUUAUGAAACAGAAUUGGAGAACACAGCAGAGGCCUCAGGCUUAGGAGAAGCAUACCCAGUGUCUACUCACCCAGCCUUCAUCUUGAAUAAAGGUUAGAACAAAGUACAAAGUGUGGUUGGCUUCCUACACAGAUGCCAAGAGAGGGGAAAAAAGCAUCAUGAAAUUUGAUUUUGAGACAUUGCUAUUCUGCCUAAAUAUCCUCUUAAAUUCUGACCAAUGAGAUGAACAAUUCCUGCUCCCUAGGAAAAUUCCAAUGAGGUCAGACAGAGGAUUGUGAUGUAAGAGAAACAGUAGAGUUGCCCUCUGUGUGGAUCGAGGCAAAUUAGUGAAUACAGAGAAUAGAGAGCCAACCAUCCAUCCCCUUUUCUUAUUUUAUAGAGGUUCAAGUAGCUAGAAAGUGAUCUUCAAAGACACAUUCUUAGUUUCCCUAUCCUUCACUUUUCACGACUGCCUAUUAUCACCUAUUGACUCUUACUAUCUUCUAAUGUAUAGGACCUAAACUCUAAGUUCUCCCCAUUAUUUCUAGGAACCUCCAGGGACUAGCUCUCAUUUGUGUUUAUGAACCUGGCUUGCCUUCAUCAGAUCACACCUGUCACUGCUUGUUUUUUCGGCUCUAGCAUCACAGAAGAUGUUACUGUAUUUGAGGCUGCUAACUUCCACUUUUUCAUGGUGUCUGCAGACCUACUGGGUUUCUCUGGGAUCCAUCUAUACCUCUUCUGGCACCUACACACUACACUUUUCAAGGGGCCCAAGAGGUCUAGAGUCUGCUUUCACUAAAUCCAUUUUGGUUUCUUUGCAGAAAUAGGGACAAUUCCCUCCUUACUUUUUCUUUGACAUAGGCUCUGAGGAAGCACCACAGUGUCUCAGCAUUUUGGAGAAACCUGUCCUAGAGUUUCUGUUUGCAGAGUUGGACAGUGCCUAUAAGAUGGUUAGGAUGACCAUGACCAAGGCAGCGUGCUACUCAGCCACCCCUUCCUAUUUUUGUGUUAGGUAUUUUUAAUCAAAUGCCCUUGUAAUUUAUUUCUUGUGCCAAGACUUCACAAUUUUAAAAGACACACAUUAAUUCCAAGAACAAACCCCCUUUAAUUCAACAUGUCUCAUUAUUUUUUGUUUCAUUUUCCUCAUCACUUUUAUUUGUUUAUUUUUGUCUGCACUGGGUCUUCAUUGCUGCAUGCAGACUUUCUCUAGUUGCGGUGAGUAGAGCUGCUCUGUUGUGGUGUGCACGCUUCUCUUUGCUGCAGCUUCUCUCGUUGCUGAGCAGCCCUAGGGCAUGUGGG